CAGGAAAAGAUCUUCUACAACUAAAGACAUAAAGAAGGAACCACAGUGAGACAGGAAAGGUCCGCCGGCUCCACACCAGCUCUCUCACCUUGGGCUCCCGUGACAGGAUGCCAUCAGGAAGCCACUGCACGUGGUGGUGAAGCAGAGAAAGGGGUCUCUGUGCAAAGGCAGGAGUCAUGGCCGGAACUGGGAGAAUUUUGCCGCCGAAGUUGGGUUUACACCUGGGCGCGGCCCGCU